GUGUCAGCAGCCGCGGUAAUACGAAGGGGGCUAGCGUUGCUCGGAAUUACUGGGCGUAAAGGGAGCGUAGGCGGACAUUUAAGUCAGAGGUGAAAUCCCGGAGCUUAACUUCGGAACUGCCUUUGAUACUGGGUGUCUUGAGUGUGAGAGAGGUAUGUGGAACUCCGAGUGUAGAGGUGAAAUUCGUAGAUAUUCGGAAGAACACCAGUGGCGAAGGCGACAUACUGGCUCAUUACUGACGCUGAGGCUCGAAAGCGUGGGGAGCAAACAGGAUUAGAUACCCCCGUAGUCC
rnacentral:rRNA from 1 species